AGAGUUUGAUCCUGGCUCAGGAUGAACGCUAGCUACAGGCUUAACACAUGCAAGUCGAGGGGCAGCAUGAAGUCAGCUUGCUGACUUUGAUGGCGACCGGCGCACGGGUGAGUAACGCGUAUCCAACCUUCCCCUGUCUCGGGCAUAACCCGGUGAAAACCGGACUAAUUCCCGAUGUUGUUCCUUGACGGCAUCAGAUUGGAACCAAAGAUUUAUCGGACAGGGAUGGGGAUGCGUCUGAUUAGGUAGUUGGUGAGGUAACGGCUCACCAAGCCUUCGAUCAGUAGGGGUUCUGAGAGGAAGGUCCCCCACAUUGGAACUGAGACACGGUCCAAACUCCUACGGGAGGCAGCAGUGAGGAAUAUUGGUCAAUGGGCGUAAGCCUGAACCAGCCAAGUCGCGUGAGGGAUGAAGGUUCUAUGGAUCGUAAACCUCUUUUAUAAAGGAAUAAAGUCGGGUAUGCAUACCCGUUUGCAUGUACUUUAUGAAUAAGGAUCGGCUAACUCCGUGCCAGCAGCCGCGGUAAUACGGAGGAUCCGAGCGUUAUCCGGAUUUAUUGGGUUUAAAGGGAGCGUAGAUGGAUGUUUAAGUCAGUUGUGAAAGUUUGCGGCUCAACCGUAAAAUUGCAGUUGAUACUGGAUGUCUUGAGUGCAGUUGAGGCAGGCGGAAUUCGUGGUGUAGCGGUGAAAUGCUUAGAUAUCACGAAGAACUCCGAUUGCGAAGGCAGCCUGCUAAGCUGCAACUGACAUUGAGGCUCGAAAGUGUGGGUAUCAAACAGGAUUAGAUACCCUGGUAGUCCACACGGUAAACGAUGAAUACUCGCUGUUUGCGAUAUACGGCAAGCGGCCAAGCGAAAGCGUUAAGUAUUCCACCUGGGGAGUACGCCGGCAACGGUGAAACUCAAAGGAAUUGACGGGGGCCCGCACAAGCGGAGGAACAUGUGGUUUAAUUCGAUGAUACGCGAGGAACCUUACCCGGGCUUAAAUUGCACUCGAAUGAUCCGGAAACGGUUCAGCUAGCAAUAGCGAGUGUGAAGGUGCUGCAUGGCUGUCGUCAGCUCGUGCCGUGAGGUGUCGGCUUAAGUGCCAUAACGAGCGCAACCCUUGUUGUCAGUUACUAACAGGUGAUGCUGAGGACUCUGACAAGACUGCCAUCGUAAGAUGUGAGGAAGGUGGGGAUGACGUCAAAUCAGCACGGCCCUUACGUCCGGGGCUACACACGUGUUACAAUGGGGGGUACAGAGGGCCGCUACCACGCGAGUGGAUGCCAAUCCCUAAAACCCCUCUCAGUUCGGACUGGAGUCUGCAACCCGACUCCACGAAGCUGGAUUCGCUAGUAAUCGCGCAUCAGCCACGGCGCGGUGAAUACGUUCCCGGGCCUUGCACACACCGCCCGUCA
rnacentral:rRNA from 1 species